GACGAACCGUGCGAACGUUGUUCGGAAUCACUGGGCUUAAAGGGCGCGUAGGCGGGCCAUCAAGUCCGGGGUGAAAUCCUCCAGCCUAACUGGAGAAGAGCCUCGGAGACUGGUGGUCUUGAGGGAGGUAGGGGCGUGCGGAACUAUGGGUGGAGCGGUGAAAUGCAUUGAUAUCCAUAGGAACUCCGGUGGCGAAGGCGGCACGCUGGACCUCUUCUGACGCUGAGGCGCGAAAGCCAGGGGAGCAAACGGG
rnacentral:rRNA from 1 species